CCUUCCUUCCUUUUAUUCUUUUUUAAUUUUUAUUUUAAACAAACAUAGACAAACAAAACAUAAAACCACCUUCCAGUUACAUAUAGAGUGUUGGUUGGUUACAAGCCUUUUGUGCUUCAUCUCCAU